ACGGCUCAGUAACACGUAGCUAACCUACCCUUAGGACGAGGACAACCCCGAGAAAUUGGGGCUAAUCCGCGAUAGGUGUGAUGUCCUGGAAUGGUAUCACGCCCAAAGGUGUUCGCACGCCUAAGGAUGGGGCUGCGGCCGAUCAGGCAGUUGGUGAGGUAAAGGCUCACCAAACCUUUGACCGGUACGGGCCAUGAGAGUGGUAGCCUGGAGAUGGACACUGAGACAAGGGUCCAGGCCCUACGGGGCGCAGCAGGCGCGAAACCUCCUCAAUGCACUCACGUGCGAAGGGGUUACCUCGAGUGCCGCCUGAAGAAGGCGGCUUUUCCAUGGUCUAAAAAGCCUAGGGAAUAAGAGGGGGGCAAGACUGGUGUCAGCCGCCGCGGUAACACCAGCCCCUCGAGUGGUGGGGAUGAUUAUUUGGCCUAAAGCGUCCGUAGCCGGCCGGGUAAGUCUCCCGUUAAAUCCAGCGUCUCAAGCGUUGGACUGCGGGAGAUACUGUCUGGCUAGAGAGUGGGAGAGGUGUACGGUAUUCUGGGGGUAGGGGCGAAAUCCUUUGAUCCCCGGAGGACCACCAGUGGCGAAGGCUGUGCACUAGAACACGUCUGACGGUCAGGGACGAAAGCUGGGGUAGCGAACCGGAUUAGAUACCCGGGUAGUCCCAGCUGUAAACGAUGCACGCUAGGUGUUGGGGCGGCCACGAGCCGCCCCAGUGCCGCAGGGAAGCCGUUAAGCGUGCCGCCUGGGGAGUACGGCCGCAAGGCUGAAACUUAAAGGAAUUGGCGGGGGAGCACCACCAGGCGUGAAGCCUGCGGUUUAAUUGGAGUCAACGCCGGG
rnacentral:rRNA from 1 species